UACGUAGGGCGCAAGCGUUGUCCGGAAUUAUUGGGCGUAAAGAGCUUGUAGGCGGUUUGUCGCGUCUGUCGUGAAAGCUUGGGGCUUAACCCCAAGUCUGCGGUGGAUACGGGCAGACUAGAGGCAGGUAGGGGAGAACGGAAUUCCCGGUGUAGCGGUGAAAUGCGCAGAUAUCGGGAGGAACACCGGUGGCGAAGGCGGUUCUCUGGGCCUGUACUGACGCUGAGGAGCGAAAGCGUGGGGAGCGAACAGG
rnacentral:rRNA from 1 species